rnacentral:rRNA from 1 species
GACGAACGCUGGCGGCGUGCCUAAUACAUGCAAGUCGAACGCAGUGGGGACGGGUGAGUAACACGUGGGUAACCUCCCAUCAGAGGGGAUAACACUUGGAAACAGGUGCUAAACCGAUACUGAUGGAUGGACCCGCUGUGCAUUAGCUAGUUGGUGGGGGAACGGCCCACCAAGGCCACGAUGCAUAGCCGGCCUGAGAGGGUGAUCGGCCACACUGGGACUGAGACACGGCCCAGACUCCUACGGGAGGCAGCAGGAGGGAAUCUUCGGCAAUGGACGAAAGUCUGACCCAGCAACGCCGCGUGAGUGAAGAAGGUUUUCGGAUUGUAAAACACUGUUGUUAGAGAAGCGUUAUCUAAACAGAAAGCCACGGCUAACUACGUGCCAGCCGCCGCGGUAAUUC